ACCUAGGCUUCGGCUUAGGGGAAAGCGGCGAACGGGUGAGUAUCACGUGGGUAAUCUGCCCUCGACAUCGGGAUAGCCCGGGGAAACCCGGAUUAAUACCGAAUGGCCCAUCCGCUCUUCGGAGCGGCUGGAAAAGGUAGCUUCGGCCUCCGGUCGAGGAGGAGCCCGCGGCGGAUUAGCUUGUUGGUGAGGUAAUGGCUCACCAAGGCGACGAUCCGUAGCUGGUCUGAGAGGACGAUCAGCCACACUGGGACUGAGACACGGCCCAGACUCCUACGGGAGGCAGCAGUUGGGAAUCUUGGACAAUGGGGGAAACCCUGAUCCAGCCAUGCCGCGUGAGUGAUGAAGGCCUUCGGG
rnacentral:rRNA from 1 species